UAUUGAUUCUCAUUGCAUGGGGUGGAGAAGAAACCACCAGAACAGAUGUCUCCUCACUGCAGAGAUGAGAAAGAGUUCUCUGACAAGCAAGGGGAUUACAAAGACGCAUUUGAAUCAUCCAACCCCAUAAUGAAUAUGGAAGAAUGCAGAAACAAGGCUAGACAGAUGUCUUAUUGACUAUGGCCACACUUACUCUGAGGGAUUAGGAUCUAUUCUUCAGCCUUCUCUUUGCCCUGGGAAGCAAGCCUGUACAGACCAUAAGAAGUUCUC